GGCGGGUGCGGUGGUGCACGCCUGUCGUCCCAGCUGCUUGGGAGGCUGAGGCAGGAGGAUCAAAGCCAGCCUCAGCCAAAGCGAGGCCCUCAGCAGCUCAGCGAGACCCUGUCUCUC
rnacentral:sRNA from 1 species